GACGAACCACACAAACGUUAUUCGGAAUUACUGGGCUUAAAGGGUGCGUAGGCGGCGCGGAAAGUUGGGUGUGAAAUCCCUCAGCUUAACUGAGGAAGUGCGCCCAAAACUACCGUGCUAGAGGGAGAUAGAGGAGUGCGGAACUUAGGGUGGAGCGGUGAAAUGCGUUGAUAUCCUAGGGAACACCGGUGGCGAAAGCGGCACUCUGGAUCUCUUCUGACGCUGAGGUACGAAAGCUAGGGUAGCAAACGGG
rnacentral:rRNA from 1 species